CAAGAGAUUUAAGAAUUUAAGAUAGCUUUAUCAAUUGCAUCAGUCUUUGGGAAGAAGCCCACCCUGACAUCUGACUCAUUCAGCCAUUAAGUCAUCUCCAAGAGAUCUGCUGUUCCUAGAGAACCUGCAAAAAACAUGAUAUCCAAGAAUCACAAUUAAUAAGUUGCCUUGUAAGCAUUUCUUUCUAGGACAACAGAAACCCC